GAUGAAGAACGUAGCGAAAUGCGAUAAGUAAUGUGAAUUGCAGAAUUCAGUGAAUCAUCGAAUCUUUGAACGCACAUUGCGCCCGUCAGUAUUCUGGCGGGCAUGCCUGUUCGAGCGUCAUUACGCCCCUCAAGUCCCCUGUGGACUUGGUGUUGGGGAUCGGCGAGGCUGGUUUUCCAGCACAGCCGUCCCUUAAAUUAAUUGGCGGUCUCGCCGUGGCCCUCCUCUGCGCAGUAGUAAAACACUCGCAACAGGAGCCCGGCGCGGUCCACUGCCGUAAAACCCCCCAACUUUUUAUAGUUGACCUCGAAUCGGGUAGGACUACCCGCUGAACUUAAGCAUAUCAAUAAGCGGAGGAA
rnacentral:misc_RNA from 1 species